AUGGAGAUCCUUGUUAUGUUUCAUCAGGUAACGUCAGUUUGUCGGUGUCUGUCAGCAAGAACUCGACUCUGCUGGUUGACUGGAACAGCGGGAGCAAACAGACGACCCAAUGUGCUCUGCUCGUCUCAACCGAAGGAAGACAGGAGAUCCAGAUACACCUUUUACCAUGGGCCUGUCUCUGCACCACCUCUGGUCCUGAUGUCAGAUACUCAGAGCUCUGCCAGUUACAUCAGCAUGAAAUGGUUGAGCAGCGGUGUGUUUGGAAUGACUUUAGCAACAUUUGUCAUUUUUCUAAUCUACAUUAUAUACAGAAGAUGGACGGGGAACGGCGUCUUCCAACUGCGUCUGAGAUAA
ensembl:lncRNA